rnacentral:sRNA from 1 species
AAUCACUAACAAUCAUGAAAUGUUUAUCUCUAUGGUUUUCUCCACCAAAGUUCGGGUAUAGAUAUUAGUGUUACUUUUCGUUGUAGAAUUUAAUUGGUUAUAGUUGUUAACGAGUGAUUUAUAGGUUGUGAAUGGUGACUAAAACCGUAUCCAAAACCGUAUCGUAACAGUGUUGUAACAAUAUCAAAAUUUUUACAUAUAUAUAUGUAUUUAUGUAUUUUUGUUAUUAUUUGAACCGCACUGCACUUUUCCCGCAUCGCAAAACACAGUCACCAUUCGGAGCCAUAGUUUAUGUUGUUAUAUUUACCCUA